UGCUGAGCUUGUUGUCUUAGAAUCCCUCUGAGGAUGGAGGAGGCCAGAUGUAGCCACACCUGUGGCUAUGGGACCGGCUCCUCUCCUCGGCAGGAGAGGAGUGCUGGCUUUUUAGAACCUGCUAGUUGCUUUCUGAAAGGCCUCCAUGGUCCAUCAUUUGCAGCUUCUGGAAAUACAGUAAGAUGCAAUAUCAUCACUAUGACUGAUUGAACAAUGAAACUGUGAGCCAAAUCAAACCUUUCUUUAAGUUGUUUUGUCAGGAACCAGCUGUGGGAUGCUGUGCUACACACAGG